rnacentral:rRNA from 1 species
GAUGAACGCUGGCGGCGUGCCUAAUACAUGCAAGUCGAGCGAACGGACGAGAAGCUUGCUUCUCUGAUGUUAGCGGCGGACGGGUGAGUAACACGUGGAUAACCUACCUAUAAGACUGGGAUAACUUCGGGAAACCGGAGCUAAUACCAGAUAAUAUUUUGAACCGCAUGGUUCAAAAGUGAAAGACGGUCUUGCUGUCACUUAUAGAUGGAUCCGCGCUGCAUUAGCUAGUUGGUAAGGUAACGGCUUACCAAGGCAACGAUGCAUAGCCGACCUGAGAGGGUGAUCGGCCACACUGGAACUGAGACACGGUCCAGACUCCUACGGGAGGCAGCAGUAGGGAAUCUUCCGCAAUGGGCGAAAGCCUGACGGAGCAACGCCGCGUGAGUGAUGAAGGUCUUCGGAUCGUAAAACUCUGUUAUUAGGGAAGAACAUAUGUGUAAGUAACUGUGCACAUCUUGACGGUACCUAAUCAGAAAGCCACGGCUAACUGCGUG